CAUCUUUCGUUUAGGGUCUC
rnacentral:siRNA from 1 species